rnacentral:rRNA from 1 species
CCUACGGGCGGCAGCAGUGGGGAAUAUUGGACAAUGGGGGCAACCCUGAUCCAGCCAUGCCGCGUGUGUGAAGAAGGCCCUCGGGUUGUAAAGCACUUUCAGUGAGGAAGAACGCCUGGUGGUUAAUACCCAUCAGGAAAGACAUCACUCACAGAAGAAGCACCGGCUAACUCCGUGCCAGCAGCCGCGGUAAUACGGAGGGUGCGAGCGUUAAUCGGAAUUACUGGGCGUAAAGCGCGCGUAGGUGGCUUGAUAAGCCGGUUGUGAAAGCCCCGGGCUCAACCUGGGAACGGCAUCCGGAACUGUCAAGCUAGAGUGCAGGAGAGGAAGGUAGAAUUCCCGGUGUGGCGGUGAAAUGCGUAGAGAUCGGGAGGAAUACCAGUGGCGAAGGCGGCCUUCUGGACUGACACUGACACUGAGGUGCGAAAGCGUGGGUAGCAAACAGGAUUAGAUACCCCUGUAGUC